AACGAACGCUGGCGGUAUGCUUAACACAUGCAAGUCGAACGGGUGUAGCAAUACAUCAGUGGCAAACGGGUGAGUAACACGUGGGAAUCUACCCAUCAGUACGGAAUAACUUUUGGAAACAGAUGCUAAUACCGUAUAUUCUUGAGAAAGGAAAGAUUUAUCGCUGAUGGAUGGGCCCGCGUCAGAUUAGGUAGUUGGUGGGGUAAUAGCCUACCAAGCCGACGAUCUGUAGCUGGUCUGAGAGGAUGAUCAGCCACACUGGGACUGAGACACGGCCCAGACUCCUACGGGAGGCAGCAGUGGGGAAUAUUGGACAAUGGGCGAAAGCCUGAUCCAGCAAUGCCGCGUGAAUGAUGAAGGCCUUAGGGUUGUAAAAUUCUUUUAGCAGGGAAGAUAAUGACGGUACCUGCAGAAAAAGCCCCGGCUAACUCCGUGCCAGCCGCCGCGGUAA
rnacentral:rRNA from 1 species